rnacentral:rRNA from 2 species
ACGGGAGGCAGCAGUGGGGAAUAUUGCACAAUGGGGGGAACCCUGAUGCAGCGACGCCGCGUGAGUGAAGAAGUAUUUCGGUAUGUAAAGCUCUAUCAGCAGGGAAGAAGAUGACGGUACCUGCAUAAGAAGCCCCGGCUAACUACGUGCCAGCAGCCGCGGUAAUACGUAGGGGGCAAGCGUUAUCCGGAUUUACUGGGUGUAAAGGGAGCGUAGGUGGCAUGGCAAGUCAGAAGUGAAACCCCAGGGCUUAACUUUGGGAUUGCUUUUGAAACUGUCAGGCUAGAGUACAGGAGGGGUAAGCGGAAUUCCCAGUGUAGCGGUGAAAUGCGUAGAUAUUGGGAAGAACACCGGCGGCGAAGGCGGCUUACUGGACUGAAACUGACACUGAGGCUCGAAAGCGUGGGGAGCAAACAGGAUUAGAUACCCUGGUA